UACCUUCGGUGCCCGAGUUGUAAUUUGGAGAGGGCAACUUUGGGGCCGUUCCUUGUCUAUGUUCCUUGGAACAGGACGUCAUAGAGGGUGAGAAUCCCGUGUGGCGAGGAGUGCGGUUCUUUGUAAAGUGCCUUCGAAGAGUCGAGUUGUUUGGGAAUGCAGCUCUAAGUGGGUGGUAAAUUCCAUCUAAAGCUAAAUAUUGGCGAGAGACCGAUAGCGAACAAGUACAGUGAUGGAAAGAUGAAAAGAACUUUGAAAAGAGAGUGAAAAAGUACGUGAAAUUGUUGAAAGGGAAGGGCAUUUGAUCAGACAUGGUGUUUUGUGCCCUCUGCUCCUUGUGGGUAGGGGAAUCUCGCAUUUCACUGGGCCAGCAUCAGUUUUGGUGGCGGGAUAAAUCCAUAGGAAUGUAGCUUGCCUCGGUAAGUAUUAUAGCCUGUGGGAAUACUGCCAGCUGGGACUGAGGACUGCGACGUAAGUCAAGGAUGCUGGCAUA
rnacentral:rRNA from 1 species